UACGAAGGGGGCUAGCGUUGUUCGGAAUUACUGGGCGUAAAGGGCGCGUAGGCGGAUCGGCAAGUCAGAAGUGAAAUCCCUGGGCUCAACCCAGGAAUUGCUUUUGAGACUGUCGGUCUUGAGUACAGGAGAGGUGAGUGGAAUUCCCAGUGUAGAGGUAAGAUUCGUAGAUAUUGGGAGGAACACCAGUGGCGAAGGCGGCUCACUGGCCUGUAACUGACGCUGAGGCGCGAAAGCGUGGGGAGCAAACAGG
rnacentral:rRNA from 1 species